rnacentral:rRNA from 1 species
CCUACGGGGGGCAGCAGUGAGGAAUAUUGGUCAAUGGGCGCGAGCCUGAACCAGCCAAGUCGCGUGAAGGAUGAAUGUCCUACGGGUUGUAAACCUCUUUUAUCACGGAAUAAAGUGAGGCACGUGUGCCCUUUUGUAUGUACUUUAUGAAUAAGCAUCGGCUAACUCCGUGCCAGCAGCCGCGGUAAUACGGGGGAUCCGAGCGUUAUCCGGAUUUAUUGGGUUUAAAGGGUGCGAGGGGGGGUUGUUAAGUCAGUGGUAAAAGUUUGCGGCUAAACCGAAAACUGCCGUUGAAAAUGGCAGUCUGGAGGUGGAGUGAAGUAUGCGGAAUGCGGGGUGUAGCGGUGAAAUGCAUAGAUAUCGCGCAGAACUCCGAUUGCGAAGGCAGCAUGCCGACUCGACACUGACGUGGAUGCACGAAAGUGUGGGUAUCGAACAGGAUUAGAUACCCUGGUAGUC